UUGCAGGUGACAGCUGGUGUACUUGAAGGCCAAUGGAGAAGUGAGAGAACCUUGAGCAAGACUUAACACCCAGCAUGUUACUUCAGCCUCAUCAGUUAAGCUGGCCAGAAGUAACAUCAUACUGAACCUAAGGAGAAAUAACUUAAAAUGCCAGAACAGGUGACAGCUGACGUACGUGAAUGCCAGUGAAGAGGAAGUGACUGACACCUUGAGCAAGAUGUAACACCCAGCAUGUUACUUCAGCCUCCUCAGGUAAGUUACUUGUGUAUCUUAGUAUGGCCAUCCCCUAAAAACUACUGGAAGUAAGACUAGAGGAGGGACUUACUUUGUGUGAAGGGUUGGAAAG